CAGAGGGUGCAAACGUUGUUCGGAUUUACUGGGCGUAAAGCGCGUGUAGGCGGCUUGGCAAGUCGGAUGUGAAAGCCCACGGCUCAACCGUGGAAGCGCAUCCGAAACGGCCUCGCUCGAGUCUCGGAGAGGAAGGUGGAAUGCUUGGUGUAGAGGUGAAAUUCGUAGAUAUCAAGCAGAACACCUGCGGCGAAGGCGGCCUUCUGGACGAUGACUGACGCUGAGACGCGAAAGCGUGGGGAGCAAACAGGAUUAGAUACCCUGGUAGUCCACGCCGUAAACGAUGAGUGCUAGGUGUCACGGGCUUUGACCCUCGUGGUGCCGUAGCUAACGCAAUAAGCACUCCGCCUGGGGAGUACGGUCGCAAGACUA
rnacentral:rRNA from 1 species